rnacentral:rRNA from 1 species
GACGAACCGUCCAAACGUUAUUCGGAAUCACUGGGCUUAAAGGGUGCGUAGGCGGCUCGGCAAGUUGGGUGUGAAAGCCCUCGGCUCAACCGAGGAAUUGCGCCCAAAACUGCCGGGCUAGAGGGAGACAGAGGUGAGCGGAACUUAGGGUGGAGCGGUGAAAUGCUUUGAUAUCCUAAGGAACACCGGUAGCGAAAGCGGCUCACUGGGUCUUUGCUGACGCUGAGGCACGAAAGCUAGGGGAGCGAACGGG